rnacentral:rRNA from 1 species
AAAACGACUCUCGGCAACGGAUAUCUCGGCUCAUGCAUCGAUGAAGAACGUAGCGAAAUGCGAUACUUGGUGUGAAUUGCAGAAUCCCGUGAACCAUCGAGUUUUUGAACGCAAGUUGCGCCCGAAGCCAUUCGGCCGAGGGCACGCCUGCCUGGGCGUCACGC